rnacentral:rRNA from 1 species
CACGUAGGGCGCAAGCGUUGUCCGGAAUUAUUGGGCGUAAAGAGCUCGUAGGCGGUUUGUCACGUCGGAUGUGAAACCCUGAGGCUCAACCUCAGGCCUGCAUUCGAUACGGGCAGACUAGAAUUCGGCAGGGGAGACUGGAAUUCCUGGUGUAGCGGUGAAAUGCGCAGAUAUCAGGAGGAACACCAAUAGCGAAGGCAGCUCGCUGGGACGGUACUGACGCUAAGGCGCGAAAGCGUGGGGAGCGAACAGG